GUGAAAUUAAUCAUAAGUAUGUCAGGAAGAGGAAAGUGCGGUAAAGGACUCUGAAAAGGAGGCGCUGAGCGUCACCGGAAGGUUCCUGGUGAUAAUAUCCGGGGAAUCACUAAACCCGCUAUUCGUCGUCUUGCUCGUCACGGCGCGUAUUUCCGGGUUGAUCUACGAGGAGACGCGCGGUGUGUUGAAGGUGUUUCUGGAGAACGUUAUUCUCGAUGCUGUGAGCUACACUGAACCCGCUAAAAGAAAGAGCGUCACCGCCAUGAUGUUGUUUAUGCUCUGAAACGACAGGGACGCGCUCUGUACGGAUUCGGAGGUUAAGACACUCCUGGAGAAAACAACCUCUUUUAAGAGACACCCACGAGUUCACACAAAGAACACGUUUCUGAAUAAUGUAGUUUAAUAUAGAAUAGUUAUUUUAUUCGUAAUAUUUGAGUUUAAUAUGAUUUUUAAAUUGCUUAUUUAUAUAAAGUUUCUAGUGUUGGUGGUCAUAUUGCUCAAACGUAAUGAAAUUAUCCAACGUUUUGAGGAAUAAGCGCUGCUCUUUAAUUGAGAGAGAGAUCGGUGGAACUAGUUAUUGUAUCAUAUUUAGAUAACCAAAACUUGUUCACAAUAUUUCACUCAUUAUCUCGUUA